rnacentral:rRNA from 1 species
AUUGAACGCUGGCGGCAGGCUUAACACAUGCAAGUCGAGCGGAGAGAGGUAGCUUGCUACUGAUCUUAGCGGCGGACGGGUGAGUAAUGCUUAGGAAUCUGCCUAUUAGUGGGGGACAACAUUUCGAAAGGAAUGCUAAUACCGCAUACGUCCUAGGGGAGAAAGCAGGGGAUCUUCGGACCUUGCGCUAAUAGAUGAGCCUAAGUGGGAUUAGCUAGUUGGUGGGGUAAAGGCCUACCAAGGCGACGAUCUGUAGCGGGUCUGAGAGGAUGAGCCGCAACACUGGGACUGAGACACGGCCCAGACUCCUACGGGAGGCAGCAGUGGGGAAUAUUGGACAAUGGGCGCAAGCCUGAUCCAGCCAUGCCGCGUGUGUGAAGAAGGCCUUAUGGUUGUAAAGCACUUUAAGCGAGGAGGAGGCUACUUUAGAUAAUACCUAGAGAUAGUGGACGUUACUCGCAGAAUAAGCACCGGCUAACUCUGUGCCAGCCGCCGCCGUAAAAC